GAGAGCCGGACAGGGCAGCGGCCGGCACUACCGCGCUGCGAUUUGCGCAGAGCUGAAGAAGCCCCUGACCAUUGAAGAGGUGGCCCCCGCCCCGUCGGGCCUCACGAGGUCAGAGUUGAUGUCCAUUUCUGUGGAGUUAACUUUGGUGAUAUUUUGAUCUGCCGUGAUCAAUAUCAGGAAAGGCCCCAUCUUCCCUUCACACCUGGAAUGGACUUUUCUGGGACAGUAUUGGAGACAGGCACAGAUGUCAGGACAGUUAAAGAGGUAAAUUAAUUGAGGGAGAUAGAGUUAUUGGCACAAGAAACUUUAAUUGUAUGGCUGAAGAAUGCGUCACUGACCAGAAGGACCUGUGGCAGAUUCCAGAAAAGGUCUCCCUAUAAGAAGCUGCUGUCCUCCCUAUAACUUAUGGCACUGCGAUUUUUGCUCUUGAGCAUUGGGCCCGUACCCAGCCUGGGUAAUAUAGCUGCUGCUGGAAGUGACGAGAAGUGCAAGCUGGCGAUGCAGAGGGGUGCGCAGUCCAGCGUGAACUACAGUCAGGGCAGCCUGAAGGAUGCACCUGGCAUGGGAGGGCAGGAUUGUGGUGGUGGGAUUUGCUGGAGGAAACAUUGCUUCUGAACCAGCCAACCUUCUGCUCCUGAAGAAUAUCUCUGCUAUGGGCCUGUACUGUGGUCAAUACAAAGAUAUGAACUUUCCCGUCUUCUCCAAGAGCCUAUCUUCAGUGCUUCAGUACUGCCAGCAAGGGUGCAUCCAGCUAUAUGUCAGAAUGGUUUUCAAGCUGGACGAGGUCAAUGAUGCCUUCCUUCAUGUGAUACAGGGGAAAUCCGUGGGCAAGGUGCUUCUCGCUCUUAAAUAAAUCCUUGCCUGAGCAGCAAAGUUAACAUGUCCAGAUCAAAACUCCACAUCUUUCCCCAAAACCUGAUUUCCCUUCUGUGUUUCCAAAGGUGUUACCACUUUCCUUACUAAUCCAGGUUUAAAAUCUUGGAGUCACCUUUGAUUCUGUUUACUAAUUGCUCCUAAUUAAUAUGAUUAUAUAGUUUAUUGUCCAAACCUUUUCGAGAGUAAAAGGGUGCCAUUAGUAAUUACAUCAGGAAAACAUAUCCCAGGCAAACCAGGAUAUAUGGUCAGCCUACUUGAUGCAUUAUGAAAUGCGGUGAUUGCCGAGUUCUGUCAUUCUCACCUCUAAGAUAUCUCUCAUGUCCAUAUCCUCUUUUCCAUUCUGACUAAUUAAGCCUCAACUGCUAUUACCAGUGACCUUCUAACUGCUUUUCCUACCUUUAAGCUAUUCUCACCCCCUCCAUCCUUGUGAUGCAUUAUUGCCAUCGUGAUCUUCCCGAAGCAUAGCUCUGACUAUGGCCCAUCUCAGAAAACCUACAGUGGCUCACCAUUGCCUGAUGGUGGAGUUCAGAGCCCUUGAGCUAGCAUUUCAUUAUGACCGUGAUUUUUCCCCGCACCACUUUCCAGCCUUGUGGUCCACAAUUCCACUGGGCCUUAAGUAUGUACUGAACUUUCCUGCCUCCCUCAUUUUGCUCUGCUUGUGCAAUUUUUUCCACCCUCCAUCUCUGUCAAACGUAAGCCUUCCUGACCUCUAAGACCUACCUUUGUCAUGUACCUUUACCCUCAGGCAAGGAGCAAUCUCUUCUCUUCCUCUUCUACCUUGCUGUAGCUUCUCCCCAAGGAUUUAUCACAUUCUGCCUUGAAUCAUAGGGAACAGCAUGUGUAGUGGAAUGAACACAGGCCUCUGAAUCCAAGAUACGAGUUUAAAUCCCAGCUUUGGAGGUGGUUACUUAAAGUCUCAGUGCCUUCAUUCUUCUUCCUAUAUAAAGUAGAUAUUACAAUAUCUAACUUACAGAGUCAUUGGGAGCUAUACAUGCAGCGAUUGGGUAAAGCACCUGGCACAUGGCAAGCGAUUAGCAAAUGCUGGUUACUUCUACUUCUUUCUCUUCCCUUUUCCCAGUCUAUCAUAAUUUCCUUGAGAGCAGGCACCAUGUCUUAUUUACCCUUGUAUUUCCCACAGUACUUCCCAUAGUGAGUUACCCUUAGUAAAUACUCAGUAAGUUGAAUUGAAUUUAAAUUACCUGUAAGUCUUAAAAUGUGGGAUUAAAUUAAGAAUAUAUUGUCCUGGAAAUACCCAAAUGUCUAUUGAUGGAUGAAUGGAUAAACAAAAUGUGGUAUACACAUAAUGGAAUAUUAUUCAGCCUUAAAAAGGAAUGAAAUUCUGACAUGUGCUACAAUAUGAUGAACCUGGAAGACAUUAUAUGUGAAAUAAGCCAGACAGAAAAGGACAAAUACUAUAUGAUUCCACUUAUAUGAAGUACCUAGAGUAGUGUAAUUCAUAGAAACAGAAAGUACAGGUUGACAUCCAAAAUCUGAAAUGAGAAAUGCUCCAAAAACUGAAACUUUUUCAAUGCCGACACGAUGCUCAAAGAAAAUGCUAAUUGGAGCAUUUCAGAUUUUGGAUUUUUGGAUUUGGGAUGCUCAACUGGCAUAAUGUGAAUAUUCCAAACUCUGAAAAAAUCUGAAGUCUAAAACACUUCUGGUCUCAAGGAUUUUGGAUAAAGGAUACUCAAUGUGCAACAUGUAGAAUGGUGGUUGCAAGGUGGGAGGAGAGAAUGGAGAGUUACUGUUUAAUGAUACAAUGUUUCCGUUUGGGAAGAUGGAAAGUUUUGGAGAUGUGUGAUGGUUAUGGUUGCGCAACAAUGGGAAGGUACUUAGUACUGCUUAACUGUGCACACUUAAAAAUGGUAAAAAUGAUAAAUUUUGUGUAUGUCUUAAAA
rnacentral:lncRNA from 1 species